AUUGAGCGCUGGCGGCAGGCCUAACACAUGCAAGUCGAGCGGAUGAAGGGAGCUUGCUCCUGGAUUCAGCGGCGGACGGGUGAGUAAUGCCUAGGAAUCUGCCUGGUAGUGGGGGAUAACGUCCGGAAACGGGCGCUAAUACCGCAUACGUCCUGAGGGAGAAAGUGGGGGAUCUUCGGACCUCACGCUAUCAGAUGAGCCUAGGUCGGAUUAGCUAGUUGGUGGGGUAAAGGCCUACCAAGGCGACGAUCCGUAACUGGUCUGAGAGGAUGAUCAGUCACACUGGAACUGAGACACGGUCCAGGCUCCUACGGGAGGCAGCAGUGGGGAAUAUUGGACAAUGGGCGAAAGCCUGAUCCAGCCAUGCCGCGUGUGUGAAGAAGGUCUUCGGAUUGUAAAGCACUUUAAGUUGGGAGGAAGGGCAGUAAGUUAAUACCUUGCUGUUUUGACGUUACCAACAGAAUAAGCACCGGCUAACUUCGUG
rnacentral:rRNA from 1 species